ensembl:lncRNA
GGAAAUAAUAUGCGGAAUUACACAGCCAACAAAAUCGAGGGGAGGGAGGAACGAAGUGGGAUUGAUAUGAGCUGAUGCAGCUUCAUGAUUAGGAUGUUUACACAGCUUUAUCAGAACCGAGCAGGAAGCUCUUCUACAAACAAAUGUCAAAGGACAUGACUUUGACCUCUGGAGGUCACAAGAUCCAAGCGUGCCCUCUAACAAACGUCUCUCAUCCUCUUGCCCUCUCUGCGUCAAAGACACUCGAUAGCAUAGCUCAGACGGUUUUCACAUGACAAAAUCCCUCUCCCCUUCCUCGUCCUUUCCCUUCAGAUCCGAAAUUCCACCUUAAACUGCAGCGCCAUGGGUGUAGAUAGUGAUGUAGCAGAUGCCAUCUUAGCAAGGAUAAAAACAAAAUCUGUCAAAUUUUAGUUUUUGCAAUAUUGACCCCUCGUCUGGAGCCAGCCGAGACGGAGGCGUUGUCAGCUGCCCAGCCUUUGUCACUGAUAAUUAGCAUUCUUAUCGCCACAGUCAGUGAUAACAUUUAGACCCACUUUCGUUGUCUUUUGUGCCCUCUGCGCCCCGCCACCAUCUCUCCUCCACUUCCUCCAUCCACUAUCCCUUCAUCCCUAGUCACAUUUCUAAUGCAUUCAGCACUUAACAGGUCUGAUAGCAACCAGUGAGAAAGAGGCAGUCGAAGGACAGAUAAAGUCUCCUUCCUUCUCCCUCUCUCUAUGAACAGGAGUUUAUCAUCGAGUCCGAUCUCUCCAUCCGCUGCCUUCCUUCUCAUUCCAUAUUCUCGCUGCAUGACUGCCUUUUGCUCCCUAUCUUUUCGUUCUGCACUUCAUUUUUUAGACUGACCCUUCCAUCUCCUUUUUGCUCUCAAUGGAACAAGUUGAAGACUGGGGGAUAAAGAAGAGAGGGCGAGAGAGAAGGAGCAAUGAAGAGUUUAUUGUGGGGGGAUUUCUGAUUAUUGAGCGACUGACAGACUAAACCAGAGUGGAGGAAGAGGGGGAUGAGUCAGCACCGAGAAACACACCCUCAAAAACCCAAUAGAGAACCAACCCAGAAAGGAACCAGAUUAGAGGCACCGAGCACAGCACCUUCAGAGAAAAACACCUUUUCCCUUCAAUACUUACCUCUUCAGCACCUCUUUUACCCUGUGUCUUUCUCUCCUGUGAGUGUGUAACAGAGGAGCAGUGACACUGUCCUACAUUUUGGAGAAACAUCAGGUACCAGCAGGGAUCAGACGGCCUGAGCUUGGCCCUCUAAAAAGGGAUAAUGGUUAACCAGCACUGCCUCAAGAAACCAGUCACCUCUGUCCCUUGGACCCUUCUCCACACUCUCCCACUUGGAAAAAUAGAAGUCUAUUUUAUUGAUAAGUCAAAUCUAUUUUGUUGUUGUUGUUGUUUUCUUGCUCCUAAUGCAUCGUUGUGUACACAAAUGCAUGUCUAUUUGCAUCUGUUUACUUUGUGUGAUUAUUAAUAAUGAAACCAUCUGUGUGUUGAGUAUUCAUCUAGACCAAUACUUGUGACAAUGUCUGAGCAGGAAAUAAAAAGACAAAGCAGAAGCUGUCGCUGAACUUUUCUCCAUAAAUAUUCAGUUUCCACCAUCUCUCUUGUGUGUGUGUGUGUGUAUGUGUGUUUUAUGAUAAUUACUGUAAGCAUUACCCAUUUUUGAUGGAUCCGUGGCCCUUGUGUUGCCACAGCAUUUUUGCCAAAUGGAGUGAAUGAGCCCAGGAGAGACAGACUGAAGCACAGGGGAAGUAUUUGUCCCAGAUGUUGUGCUUCAUCAUUGAUCUUUCUCUUUUUUCUUCUUUUUCUAUCUUUUUUUUUUUUAAUAUAGCUCGUUGUGUGAAUCCUCUGUGCUCUAGCUAUUUGGGGGAAAAAACAAACAAAAAAAGGGCAUUCUUUCUUGUCUGCUUAUUAAUCUGCUUCUGUCUUUCUUUCUUUCUGGAGUGUCUCUUCUCCGCUCAGUCUCCCAGGUUACUGCUGCCUUGAAGGAGACUUCUCGUCCACGCUGUCUGCAUCCUGCCAGACUCUCUGAGUUAGAUUUACCUGCAGACAGACACCUUAUGUAUAUGUAUGAGUACGGAUGGGGCUGUGCAUCUUUUUAUUGGCCCGUUUAUUGCUGCAGUAACAUUAUUUUAGUGUGUGGAUGUCAAAAGGACAUUUUCUGGACUUGAUGUGGACGCAGGGGAUCGCAGAAGAGACAUUAUCUUAAUUCUCCAUCAGAAGAAGGAAC